GCCCAUUUGAAGCCUUUGGCUCGAUUGGCCCAAUAACAUCCAUUCCCCAAGCAACGAAAGGCCAAGGAGAGGAUAUGGGAUGCAACUCCGAUGGAGGCGAGUGAAUCAGGUAGCCAUGAAUCUGGCAUUGGUGACACUUGCAAACAAAAUUAAAGCAAUCUUGCUCCAUAGUAAGCCAAUAAUACCCUGCACGUAGAAUCUUCUUCGCCAAAAUGUAUCCAUUCAUGUGAGGCCCACAUACCCCCGAAUGCACUUCACUCAUGAUCCGCUCAGCUUAUGUGGAAUCUAUGCAUCUCAAUAGAUUCAAGUCUGGGGUCCUUUUGUUCAAAAUUUGCCCAUUUAGGAAGAAACCAACAUCGAGCUGCCUUAUAGUUCUUUUUUGAUCUCCCUUUGCAUGCUUUGGGUAUUCCUUUGUUUCAGGAAUCGUUUUAUGUCAUUAUACCAUGGUUCACCAUCUAGUUAUGUCUCAAUUGUAUUACAGUAACCGUGUUAAUUAAAAACUUGGAUUUCUAGUGGAUCAAUAUGGGUUUUGCCUGGAUAAAGGAGCAUCGAGGCUAAAGUAUCCAAGGCAUCGUCUAGCUCGUUGAGAAACCUGAUAAUGUACCUGAACUCGAUGGAUUUGAAUCUUUUUCUCAGAUCAUACACACAUUGUCUGUAUGGAAUAAGCUUGAUGUCUCGAGUCUCCCAUUCGCCUUGGGCUUACUAGAUAAGCAAGUUGAAAUCUCCUAUAACCCAUAGUUCAUGCACAUCCAGAUCGAGGGCCAUUUUCAGAUCCAUGAUACAAGCCUCAUAUUAUCCGUAUUAUUGGUACAGAAGAAACGAAGUCGGGCCAUUGCAGGGUAAUGCUGUCCAAUAGGUGAGAUGAGGAUUGCCCCGAUCCCAACUCCUUUGAUAUUGACAGCCCCAUCAAAAUAUAUUUUCCAUACAUGGCUAUCGUCCUGAACUACUUUCUCUAUUGAGUUGACCUCUUUAUCUGGGAAGUAUGUGCUUAGUGGAUUGUAAUCAUCAUCAACUGGAUUCUCUGCCAAUGCUUGUGCUUUCAUUGCGGUACGAGUUACAUAGACGAUGUCGAACUCUAUGAGCAGGAUUUGCCAUUUUGCAAGCCUAUCAAUGGGCAUUGGCUUUUGGAAUAUGUACGUCAAAGGAUCUAUUCUAGAUACGAGGUAAGUAGUUUAGGCCAAAAAAUAAUGCCUCAGCUUCUGAGCGACCCCAGUCAAGGCACAACAUGUCCUUUCUGAAAGGGUGUACUUAACCACAUAAUUGGUGAACUUCUUACUUAAAUAAUAGAUUGUAUGUUCCUUUUUGCAUGUCGCAUCAUGUUGCCCCAAAACGCAUCUAAAUAAGUUAUUUAUCACCGAUAGAUAUAAAAACAAAGGCCUACCAGGUUCAGGUGGGACCAGGUAACAUCCUUUUUCAGCAACUUAAAGAUGGGCUCGCAUGUGGUUGUGAGCUGAGCAAUGAACCUACUGACGUAGUUCAACCUACCGAGCAAACUCAUGACUUCAGUUUUAUUCUUCGGGGGUGGCAGAUCUCGAAUGGACUUUAUCUUAGAUGGAUCCAAUUCGAUGCCUCUCCGGCUGACUAUAAAACUGAGAAGUUUCCCAUAUGGAACCCCAAAUGCAUACUUGGCUAGAUUGAGCUUAAGGUCAUACAUUCGAAGACGUUCGAAGAACUUUUUCAAAUCGCGCACGUGAUCAUCCUAUGUCUUUGAUUUUAUGAUGACAUCAUCGACAUAUACUUCGAUCUCUUUGUGCAUCAUGUCGUGGAAAAUGAUAGUCAUGGCCCUCAUGUAAGUUGCCCAUGCAUUCUUCAAACCGAAUGGCAUGACCUUGUAACAAUAAGUACCCCAUGGAGUGGUAAAAGCAAUCUUUUCUGCAUCAUUCUUAUCCAUUAGAAUCUGGUGGUACUCAGCAUAGCAAUCCACGAACAAUUGUAUCUCAUGAUUUGCGCAAUUAUCUAAAAGAAUGUGGAUGUUUGGUAAAGGAAAAUUAUCCUUUGGACUUACUUUGUUCAGGUCCCUGUAGUCAACACAGACUCUAGUUUUCCAUCCUUCUUUGGCACAAGAAAAACAUUUGCCACCCAGGUGGUGUAUUAGACAGCUCUGACCACAUUGGCGCUCAGUUGCUUCAUUAUUUCCUCUUUGAUUUUGUCACUCAUAUCCAUUUUAAAUUUUCGUUGCUUUUAUUGUACUGGUGGAAAAUCAGGAUAUGUGAGAAACUUAUAAGUCAUUAGGUCAGCACUUAAACCUGGCAUAUCAUCAUAAGACCAAACAAACACAUCUCUGUAUUCAAAUAAAAGUUGAAUUAAGGCAUAUCUGGUUUUUGUUCAGUGUGAAUGCUUAUCUUUGUUUGUCUAACUUCUUCAUGACUUCCGACAUUAAUUGGCUCAAUUUCAUUGAGGUUGGGCUUAGGCUUGUUUUCAAAUUGUUCCAACUCUCUUUUUAUUUCCUCAACAACUUCAUCUUCAUUAUAUUCAACCUCUUGAUGCAUUAUUUCAAAAUUAGAUAGCUUUGUAAGAUCUGUCGCAUGAAUUCUGCAUGCAUGUCAUGUUAUUAAAGCUGGUAUUAACAAAACUGAAAUGGAAACAAAAUGACAGAAAUUAGGAAAAGAAAAAGAUACAAACUUAAUACAAAACUGAACUGCAUUUCAUUGAAUUUUAAAGGAUAGAAGUGUUAACAUCACAACAAAACAAUCAUACUGAGAUGUUUGAAUUACAACCCUGAAAGUAACCCAAAAUACAAAAAAGAAGCUACAAAAGCAAACUACCAAGACUCUUUCCUUGUGGGGAGAGGAGUUGCUUCCCAGUUGUUGAGCAUGGUGUCUGAGCCAAUUAGUUGCAUAUCGGAACGACUAGUGCCUUCACCAACUUGGAUCAUAUUCACUUCAGAAAAUAUCUGGUUGUGGCCAUAGAACAUUUCAUCGAUGUUUUCAUGUGCUGAGGAAUUUUUACCCUCUUGGAGUCGUGGCUUGACAAAAGUGUAGAAAAUGUGAGGGAUGGGUUGCUGCAAGACCUACCCAUGCUUUUUGCGGUGCUUGGCUUUGUCUUCAUCUGCUUGUGUUGGCCUGAAGCCUAAGCCAAAAGUACCUUUGUUGCUAAAGGGAGAGAUGGUUUUCGAAAUUCCUUGCAAUAAUGCCCCCAGGCCUUUUCCUGGCUCAUAACCCCGUCUCAGCAUAAGUGCAGCCAUUAUUAUAGAUGUGGCAGAAAGACGAUGAUGCAGAAUAAGCUUUUAUUACUCAACAUGGUCCAUAACAACCACUUCGAAAGCCUGAUAGACAAUGGACUCGCACCCGUCCUUGGCCUCAAUACACGGGAUUAACGGGUCUUUAUAAAUGGAUGACUCGUAUUCUCUAUGAACAAUAAUUUCUUACCUGUCAUAUUCGAACUUGAGCAUCUGAUGCAAGGUGGAUGGCACAACUCGAGCCGUAUGGAUCCAUGGCCUUCCAAGAAGAAAGUUAUAAGAAGUUUCCAUGUACACUACUUGGAAGAUAAUUUCAAAUCAACCGGCUCAAUUGUCAUGGUGAGGCUGAUCUCCCCAAUGGUGUCUCUCACUGAUCCAUCAAAAGACCGGAUACAGACAUUGCUUGUUCAGAUUCUGUCUGUAUUGAUCUUCAUGCUUUGCAAGGUGGAGAGAGGGCAUACAUUUACGCUCGAGCCUCCAUCAACCAUGACUCGCUUUGCGUAAUGCCCCUCACAUUUGACAGUUAAGUGUAAAUCCCUAUUGUGCCCGGCUCCCUCCUCAGGGAGUUCAUCAUUGGUAAAGGAGAUUUUAUUCACCUCAAAACAAUUGUUGGUCAUCUUCUCUAACUGAUUCACUGUGGUGUUCUCUGAGACAUGUACCUCAUUCAGGAUCUUGAUUAGUACACGGACAUGCUCUUCUGAAUGUAUGAGCAGAGAUAGCAGAGAGAUUUUAGCAUAAGUCUUUCUUAACUGAUCAAUGAUUGAGUAAUCCUGAACUUUCAUCUUUUUCAAAAACUCUCCCGCCUUUUUUUCAGUGACUGGUUUCUUUAUUGGCAUUUGGCCUUAUUUGAUUUUCUUGGCCUUCCUCAACUCUUCUGGAGAGUAAUACCUCCCCGAUUGAGUCAAGCCCCCAGUCUCCCCCACUUAUUCUAUGAUUUCCUUGCCUUUGUAGGUUACUACAGUUUUGUUGUAGUUCCAAGGAAUGGUUUUCGUGUUUGUCACACAUGGUUGCACGGCGUGUUUGAUUAUGAUCAGCUAUGUUAUACCUUUUGUACCACCUUGAUUCUGCCUCAUAACGGGGUGGCCUCCCAGGACAUACAACUUUGGGCUUGGAACACUAGAACCGACUCCCAACCUCGAAAUUUUGUUAACAAAUAAAGUUUCCUUCUCUGAGCUCUAGACGCCUUUCACAAUCAACGGCACAUCUUGGCUUGGACUUACUUCCAGUCUUGUUCUUUCUUGAAUCAUUCCCAUCGUCAUUUCUGCUCGGCCAACAGGCUUGUAUUCUUGAUCUCGACCAAUCAUUCUCACAAAAUAAACAUCAUUGUGUGCUGGCAAUGGGUUGUUUGUCACAUUAGGAGGGUCCUCGCCAUUUGUCACCACAAUCAACUUUUCAGAUAUGAGUCUUUCUAUGGCUCUUUUCAAAGUCCAACAGUCGUCAGUGCUAUGUCCCAAGCACCUGAUUGAUAUUCACAUCUAGUAUUUUCUUGAAAUCCAUGUGAAUCGGGAUGCAUAUGGUAGGGAGCGAUGGGUCCAAUCACGUCCACCUGCUUCAACUUUUGGAACAGAAUAGAGUAUGAUUCAGCCAGUGGAGUGAAAUUUUCUACCGGCCUCUGCUCUCGACCAUAAUCCUGCCUGGGACGAGCAUUGUAGGGUGCCCAAAACAUUUGUUACUGAGGUCAAAGGAUCCUUAGAUCUGGCGCCCGUACUUGUUUAUUGGGCGGACGAGCAUAAGACUGGGCAUUAAACACUAUAUACUGUGGUGGGCCCACAUAGUAUUGAGGAGUUGGCGGGGGGUAAUAAUGUUGAGGGUAGCUGAAUUGCCCCUGUUGAACUUGCAUAUAAGGGUGCGAUGCCCCUCUUUGAACUUCCAUGGAUCCCGAAGUCAUCAUGGACCCUUCAUCUCUCUUCUUUUUAUUUGCCAAACUUCCCGACCCAUUUUGGAUUGCUUGGGUGCUAGCUUUGAAAGCAACCCGACUUACAAUUCUGCCAGUCUUGAGGCCAUUUUCGACCAUCUCCCCUAUUUUGAUUGCUUAUGCAAAAUGUCUACCCAUCGCGGACAUCAUGUUCUGAAAGUAAUUAGGCUCUUGAGCCUCCAAAAAAAUGGUGAACAACUCGUGGUUAUCCAUGGGUGGCUUAACUCUAGCCGCUUGCUCCCUCCACUUGAUGGCAUACUCCCUAAAGCUUUCAGUCGGCUUUUUCUUCAUAUUGGACAGAAAAUUAUGAUCUGGUGCAAUAUCAAUAUUGUACUAGAAUUAUUUGAUGAAGGCAUAGGCCAUGUCGUCCCAGACAUGCUAGUGAGAGAUAUCUUGGUCAAUGAACCAUUCAGAGGCUACCCUCACAAGACUUUCCCCAAAAUAAGCCAUCAUCAAUUUUUUUUUGUAACUAAAUUUUUGUAUUAAUCACUAAGUAAAUAUUUACAUGAUCCAUAACAAGGCUACACACAACCUGUUAUCUCAAACAAAAAACCAGAACUAACACAUAGCUAAUCUAGAAUUUAAGUCUAUGAACAACAUUCUAAAUUCCAGGGAAAGCUCUAACACUACAAACUAUUGCAAUCUCCCUUGCUAUGCUCUCCCAGCUUUUUCUUUGUUUCUCAAAAACUCUAAGAUUCAUUUCUAUCUAUAUGCCAUGUACAAAUUCAAAAUAUAAAAGUUUAAAAAUUUGUGCAGCUUGUGACUUGCCUUUAACUCUAGCAAUGAUAUUGUGAGUAUACUGAUCCCAUCCAACAACAGUCUGAUCUUUCCUCUAUGCCCACAUAAUCAACUUGGACCAUACUCUUUGUGCAAAUUCACAUUCUCUGAAUAAAUGAUCAACUAUUUCAUCACAUGUCUGACACAAUACACACUCUUCUUUUCUACCCGCACCCAUCAGUUGGUUGCAGUACCUUUUCAAGUGGGUGAUAGGGUCGCCGUGUCCAUCAUACUUUUCAAAUUUUGGGGUCUUGAACCUUGGUGGAAGUGGAUGUGAGGUAACAUGCAUAGAUCACUGAACAAAAUACUUUUGUGACUACCUAGUCCUUGUAUGUUCUUUAUGUUUUGUUCAAGACUUUUUAUAUUCCUGGCCAUCUCAUCUGGCUCACCCGUCUUGGCAGACUUUUCAUUUCCCACUGGUGACUCGUGCUGAGGAGUCUGAUUGUAUGGAGCCGAGACCUUGAAAGCCAUAUUUGGAGAGUAGUAUUGGCCAUCGUAAGCAUUAGAUGGUGGCUCAUUAUUUGACCUCAUCAUAGGAGGUGGUGGCGGGACUAUAUAUACUGGCGUGCCAGACACGACAAAAGGGGUGUUCUUGACCGGUGAGGCUGGAAGUCGCACAUUAAAGGUACCAGGGGCGGCAUGGAAGCUGUAGUUUGGCACAUACCCUGUGGUAGAAUAUGAUCGCUCAUUACAUGGAGCGAUGGUUGAGUAGCAAGAGGUAUGUUGGAAGUUCCUUCUGAGGGACCCUGAGGCGGAGGCUGACCGGAGACCCAAGCCUGAUACACAUCAGACAGUUGUUGUUUCAAUCUUCUUACUUCCUUCGACUCUUGCUCAACUGGCUGACCCUAGGGGUCGUCACUGACCAGCUCGAUUUCAUCUAGGGCUGCUUAACGGGCGGAUCAGGCGGUUAUUUACUCUUAACAGUUUGGCUUAUCGGUUAUCGGUUUUUAAAUGUAUUAAUUCGCUAGUCACCCAAUAAGAUAUCGGGCGCAUUGGUAUCAGUUUAGCUAUUAUCGGGCGGUUAUCGGUUUAGUUUCAGUUGAUUGAAAUGGUGACAUUCUUCAGUGCCUUAUAAUGAUGACAAACAUUAUAAAUGCCUUUUUGUAACAGAUGAAUUGUAUUUUCAACUAUGAUGCUUAGCUUAUGGUAAUGGUUGAUAUUAGCAGUAUUAACCUGAGAGUUGUCACUGCUGGUUGUGGUUGAAGCUAUUGUUGCUCUGUAAAUUUUGUUGUAACUGGCUUGUGUCCUUUCUGCUGCUACUCUUUCGGAUUUUGCUAAGAAAAGUUGACAUGAAACUAGUUAGAAGUUGCAGUGUCUCCUGGCUUUGCUUUGGCUAUAUAGAAAACUUUUUAAAGUUAAGGUUUUGUAACAAAAUAUGAAUGAUUCUAGAAGAUGNUCAAUCAUGUUCCCUGUCCGUUAAACCGUUAACCCGAUACCAAUAAGACAUUAAGCUUCAGUUUCGGUUCGGUUUUCGAUUUCGGUUCGAUUUUGAACACCCCUAAUUUCAUCAUUAUUAGCCAUUGCUACCUUUCCCUUAGAUCUGGUAAAGUAAUGAUGUGUUGCCAGUUUCACCACAAACCAACCACCUUAAGCUUACUAUAUAAGAGACAACAAACGUGUUAGGGUUAAGCAUUUUACAGAUAUGAAUCACAUGUAAUGUGCCAUGCUCCUAACAUUAUCACCAUUUCUACCGUGCCUUUGGAAGGCUUCAUGUUUUAUUUCGGCUUAUAAGGUUGCUGCUUAUUGACGCUCCUAUUUCCUUCUCCUUUUUUCCUUGUUUUUCCUUUCACUCGCCUCAUUUUGAUCCCUCAUUUUAGAGUCAUUGAAAAAUAUUUGAUCAAACCUUUUGGGGGUUGUCUACGUAUCAUGUCGCCGCAUGAAUCAGAUCAUUACGUAGUUCAGGAACAUGACCAAUUUUUUUAUUACUUAUGUUUACAAAAACAAAAAUCUUUUUGGUUCAUUUUCGAAUUUUUCUAAAACAAAAUCUUUUUAAUUAAUUUUCAAUUUUGUAUACAAGACCCAAAAACAAAAAUUACAUAAAGACGAACAUCUAAACAAGACCAGACUCGAACAAUGGUUUGGACUUUUUAAGAUAAAAAUCAAAACAACAAGACUCAACACACCAAAAGACUCUUAAAGGCUCAAUGGCAACAAAUGAACAAUCAAAAUGGACUGCCAAGUGAAAGAAAACUCUGAUCUUUGCGGGAGAAUCCAACGGCAUCACUGUAGUCAAGGAACUUAUUCCUACGGUUAACCCUAACAUCGCGGUAUAUCCUCUCUAAGUCUGUAAAUAUGUGACGGGUGACGUUCGAUAAUACUUCUGCAAACCACUCAGGCGUCAUUCCCUAGAAACUCCUGCAUGCUCGAGAGGUAUAUGUGGCUACCUCGAGGAUCUUUCCCUUAAUGUGUUCCUGAGCCAAAUGCAACUCUUGAUUUCACUAACCACGAGUCUCAGCUAGAUCCAGCACAUCAUGCUCGCGCUCCAAGGCCAUAUCUCUCUAGCGCCGAAUUUCUAGUGACUCCCCCUCCAAUCGAUUGAUCAUACUUUGGUAGUGAUAUCUUUCUAUUUCAAACUCCAUGAUCUGACGCUCUUUGCUUGACUCAACUCCCCCUAUAUGAUUCCUCAUACCUUGGAUUAAUGGAGCAAAACCUCUGCGCUCAUGAUCACAAACCACCUUGAACUGGGCUUCUUUUUCUUCUUAUUGUUGAGCGGUAGUGAUCACUUUUUUCCGUCUAAUUUGAGCUUUGAGUGCUCGCCUCUCUUGUGCCCAGUGAACCUUUUCCCGCUCGAAAUCAGCAUAUUGUAUAUCCAUGGCGGUCUCCAGAAUGGCUUUAUCUUCUUGUAAAAUGUCAAUACUGGAUUGGUACUCUUGUGCCACUUCCCUUCCAAUUUCUCUAACUCUGGCAUCGAUCUCCUCCUCCCAAUCAAAUGCAUUCUGUAUAGAUCUUUCUGGCCUUUGCUCCGGGAUAGCUUGGUUGUGAAACAAUUCAAUGUAUGCGAGGCUUACCUCUCCAUGUUCACGAUCAACUACCAUCUCGUCCAAGUUGGAAAAUCGACCACUGAACCAAACCUUUUGUUCAUAUGACUCCUUUGGAAGUUCCUCUCCCUUGAAUUCCCACACGAAUGGUCGCAUAUCCUCAAUCGGGGGCCUCUUUUGCUCUCUCCCUAGCUGGUGCAUGACACGUAGGGGUGCGUAGGGUUGGAAACCUCUGAAACCCAUGAGUAUAAAGAACGGGCGAUACGUCGACAUUUGCAUGACCCUAGCAGAAGGUAACCAAUAAUAGUUCCAAGUGAUUCUAUCAGCACUCAAUGAACCAAGUAAUGUCCGCCAGGCCCUCACCCCCUUUGGAAUAUUACAACUUGCGGCCCUGUCUGGGUGACAUCCAAUGUAAUUCAGCCAAUUGUCAUUGAAUUUUACUACUAUUAGAUGAUGAUAAAGGUGCUCUAUGAACCACAUCUACAGCAGAAUGUUGCAUACCUCGAAGUAAUCUUUACCCUCUUGGCAGUGGGUCAAAGCUCAAAAAAUAUCUCCCAGAAUCAUGGUAAGAAUUGUAUGAUCCUCGCUACUUUGCAAAAAUGAGACUACCGCAGCCAAUCGAAUUCUGAUGCGCCUACCACGCACUAGAAAGACCAUGAUCCCCAGAAAUGAUAUCAUGAAUGCGAAGAUUCUCAACUCCCUCCAGGUAUCAUAACUCAAUUGGUUGACGAAUUAUGUGCCCGAGCAGUUCUCAAACCCUUUCUCGUCCCCAAAUCUGUCAUAGAGAUAUUCCAACGGAACCAACCUUCGUUCAAGCAAACCAUUGGAAUUCGACGGAGGCAUAACUUCUUCAAAAAGUUGUUCACACCAACUUUUCUCGGAGCCGCAGGAUUUUUCCCAUGAAGGUCUCUCCCCAAUCCGGUAAACCCACCUAAUUCUUACAAUGUAGGCAUCAUUUCACAAUCUUUGAACCUGAAGAAAUUGUUCACGGGGUCCCAAAACCCCACUAGGGCCUCGAUUAAAUCUCUUUUAGGCUUAAUUCACAUGAUAUUUGUGAGGAACUUGAGGUGUUUAAAUACUUGAUUCCGUUCCCAUGUAGCAAAACUAGCCCACCAAUUACAGAGACUACUCGGGGUCUUAUCUAUGAUCAAGAACAUAAGAGGUGUCUCAUCCCUUACCCUUUUCUGACCGCUUCUUUGUGGAGAAUUCAUGGUGAACCUAAGAAUAAGAUAAAAAAGGGGUCAUGACUUACCUAAACUAUAUGCAAAUUCUGAUUAUUUUUUUUGUUUUUAAAUGCCAAUUUAGGACUCGAUCUAUUUUUCAUUAUUAUUUAUUUGAAAUUAGCAGACACAAAAGGUGAAAUGAUAAAAGUAGGAAAAUGGCUAUUAUUACGAAAAUGACCAUUUGAUACUUCCAGCUUAAAGGAUGUCUCGGCAAAAAUGGCCAAACACAGGGACAAAAUGAUAAAAAGUAGACAAAAUAAAUAAAAAAGGCUACUUUUAUGAAAACGGCCCUUCGAUACUCCUGAGAGAGGUUCAAAGGAUGUCUCGGCAAAUAUGACCAGACAAAAUUAGAUAAAAUAGCCAUUUUAAUAAAAAUAGCCCUUGAGUACUUGCGUGGAAGGUUUAAGGUUGUCUCGAAAAAACGGUCAGACAAAAUCAGAUAAGAUGACUAAUUUGUGAAAACAGCCUUUCGAUACUUUCAUAGAAGGUUUAAAGCUGUCUCGACAAAAAUGAUCGGACAUGAGGGCAAAAUGGUAAAAGUUGAACAAAGAUGGACAAAGUAGCUAUCUUACAAAAAAUGACCCUUCAGCACUUCCGAGUUCCGAGGAAGAUUUUAAGGAUGUCUUGGCAAAACGGCCGGAUACGAGGGAAAAACAGUAAAAGGUGACCAAAAAUAGUUAAUUUUAUUUUUAUUUUUUCCAAAAUUUUUAUGCAUAUGCAUAAUUUUUAUGCUUUUUAUUUUUUUGAAAUUGUGGGCCGAACCCGAUUGAGAUUGCCUACGUAUUUCACCGGAUAGUGAGAAUCAAACCCCUGUAGUUCGAUAAAAACCGACUAUUUUCUCUUUUGAUUUUUAUGAAAAUUAAUCCUUAAAAUCAUAACACUAGACCACAUCGUCCCCUUAUGUUUUUUUAAAAAUUUUUUAACAGACAUUUGUACAAAAAUCGUAGAAUUUCUCUCUUGUUCAUUUAACCGAUUUAUCCUAAAGCUGGUCAACAUGAAAGCCUCCCGAUUAAUGUAAUAGAUAAUAUGUAACAUGAACAUAUUGGUCUCAACAAGGUACCUAUCCUAAAACAGAACCCGACUCCUGUGCCGAGCGUUGCUAAGUCAAAUGCACAUGAUGCAAAAUAAAGCGAAUCUACUAGGGAUAUCCGGCAUGAGAUUUGUUCUUCUAGGUUUAAAUCCUGGUGGAGAAGGAAUCUAGACUGGCUUACUCGAGCGGACAACUCGAGCCAAGGAGAGUCAGCGUACCGGUAGCAUUGCUUUCCGGCUUAGCUAGUGAUGCUCCCCGCCUAAAAUGCGUGUGACUAAAAUCCUUCACCGGGUGACAAACACCUCAACUAUCUCAAAGAAAGCAGGCUAUGUCAUGCAAAUGACCAAUUUAAUUUCAAGAAGACUCAGAGGGGUGCGUGAGAAGAUAAUUUAUAUGUACAGUUCAACAAUAUCAAAGCGGUAAAAAGCGAAAAAGUAGCACAUUAGGCACAAAUAAAUCACAAUAUAUACAAAAUUAAUAAAACCAAAUAAAAGUUAACAUGUACAAGCUUUAAUUCUGGUUGAGUUCCCCAGCAGAGUCGUCAGAGCUGUCACCCCCCCUUUUUUACCCCAAAAAGAUAUGUGUUAUGGAUUUGUUGUGGGUCAAAGAGUUUUUUCAAUUAAAGUGACAAUUUGAAAUAGAGAUUAUUUUGUUGUUCAAAGUCGCCACUUGGAAUUGAUUUUUUUGGUAUUCCAAGUCACCUUUUAUUUGAAUCCCUAGUCAAAGGAAGGCUUGACUCUAUUAUUAUUGGUCUGCGAUAACAAAGUCCAUGUAAGGAAUUCUGUUGACCGGGGAGAAGGUGUCAGGCAUUCUCCGAGUCCCGUGGUUCUAGCACGGUCUCUUUAUUGACUACAUUUGACUUAUAUUAUUUUUGGAUAAAAAUGUAUUUUAUUGAUUUUCAUGCAUUACCCAUGUCCUUUUUAUUGCUUUGAUUAUUAGAAAUAUUGAAGAAUGACUUGGAGAAUAUUACGUUGUCAUGACCACGCUACGCAAGUGAAUGCGUGAUCGAAAAUAAAAUUAAUUAACUUAUUAUAAUUGCUCCUCGCAAGAGAAUCCGAAAUCAUGACAAUCAAUUAUUUGUAAUAUUUUUGAGAAAUUACUACAUUUGUGUUUGAGAAAAUUAGUUUAGGAAUUUAUUAAAUACCACUAUCGCACUACGCAAGCGAAUCCGCGAUUAUAGCGAAAGAUUAAUUAAAUUGAAAAUUAAUUAAGCUAUUAAAAUUAUUGAAUUAAUUUAUUAAGUGUUAAAUAUUACGCUACACAAGCGAGUCCGUGAAUAAAAAAGUUAAAGCACGCCUGCUAAUUGCCUAGCGUUUAAAUUAAUUAAUUAGAAGGAAAUGAGUUAAUUAAUUAGUAACAAAAGUCUGAUUAUUAUUAUUAUUAUUAUUAUUAUUAUUAUUAUUAUUAUUAUUAUUAUUAUUAUUUUCUAGCCUUAUUGUUGGAAAAAAUUAUGCAAAUAAGAUGUUGGACCACCUCUAUCUAUCUUAAAGAAAUGGGCCAACUUCUCGUUAAAGGAAAAAUAGACCAACUUAUGGAUUUUAGAGCUAUUGGACUGCUGAAAUUUAUUAUAAGAAAAUGGGCCAGCUAAUUAAUUUUUAAGAAGAAAAGGAAUGGGUCAACUAGCUUAGUUAGCAUCGGGCCUACUGAUAUUACUCUUAUUUGACCCAUUUUUCAAUUUGUUAGCUUGGUGGUUAAAGGCCCACUUAUCAUUACCAAACCUUAAACCACAUUCUCUUUCAUUAAAAAAAUAAUCCUUGCAACAUAUUCAUGUCUUCUAGAAUGGCUUAAUUUAAACCCAAAAAUUAACACAACUUGUUGGGAAAACAAACGGUAGAAAGAGCACUAAAUAUUCAAGCUCAAUUUCAUAGCGAACAAUUAAACCAACAGAUACUACAAUGGACUAAUCGAGAAGGUAGUUAUUAUUUCCAUAGCCUAAGGUAACCAAACUCUUUUCAUUGCUAAAUCACCUUCUACUUCAUCAGUAUCUCUUUUUUGGCAUACAUCUUUAAGGCUAAUAUCUAACUAAAUAUGUGAAUUUAAACAUGCACGGAAGAAGAAUAAAAUAUCAGGUUGAAGCUUUGCACUAAACUAAACAGCUCUAAUCUCAUAAACCAAACGAAAUUAAUACUAACACAUAAAACUCUCUUCUUUCUCUCUUAAAGAUCAAGCUUAAUAUCUGGCUAAUAACUCAUCAAGAAUGCUUAAACCAUAAACUAAAAAGAUUGGACAUAAAACCCAAUAUGAACAUCAUCAAGGCAAGUCUUAAAAUAUAAAGGAGUAAAGUAACAUAAUAUCAUCUUUAAUACAUCAGAAUAAAACCUACACCCAUUUGAAACAAACAACAACCUAACCAGUAUUUAAACAUGUCAUUAACUAAAAGAAAAAGUUCAACACCAACUCUUAUAUAUGCUUGAUACUUAAAAUAAAACAGAUCAUACACGAACAUAAUACUUUCAAGGUGCUGAAUAUACUAAAAUGGUUCGAAUCACUUUAUUUCCAUUCACUCUUGAUCCAAAAGUAGUACAACAGUUGAAGAAAUUACCUGGGCAGCAGAAAAGAAAAUAUCAGUGGAGAGCGAAUUGAAUUUUAGCAAACAAAGCCAGCAAAAACAACUACGUAAUAGCAGCCAGUCAGUGUUAAAAACAGCCCAGAAAAUCCAGCAGAGAAUUAUGAAACUAGUAACUAGUAAACUCAGAACUUAGCCAAACGAUCACUCUAUUUUCUCAAUGGUUUUACACUCUAAAAGUCACUCACAAAGCUCACAAUUUUCAGUUGCUAAAGGAUGCUUCCGCUGCUGAAUUGUUCUCUCAAAGUUAUGUGUUUUACUUAUAGUGAAAGAUUUGUCCAAGUGUGUGAGAAAAUGAAUUCUUAAGUAGGAAACUAAAGCACCUAUUGGACAACUUUUAGUUUACAAAAUGUCUGUCCAAAAGGACUAACUUUUGCUACCAAAAUACCUGCCCAAAAGACUCACUUAAGUGUGCUAAAAGUCUGUCCAAGGGCUAUCCAAAAGGGAAAGGACAGUCCAAACCAACUAAAGUGGCAAAAAUAUGGAGGAAAAUGUACUUUCAGCUGCUCUAAUACUAAAAAGUAAGCUACUUUGUAUCCUAAAUCAUGAUCAACUUAGCUAACUUCAGCUUUAAGCCAAUUAAUACCAAACCUUGUUUGCUUCAAGCCAAAACAAAUAACUAGAACUUAGUUAAAAUACCACAAACAUGUAACUAAAACUUAACAUUGAACUAUUAAUCAAUCAAAGAGAACGGGAACUUAAAGAUUAAGCAAAUACAUGCAUUGACUAGUGAAGGCUUAAUAGAACUCAAUAGUUUAUACUAAAGCAAAAUCAGAAAACAUAAUUCAAACUUAACGACUUAAAAGAAAACACAAAAAUGUUACUAGUGAGACAAACUAAUGUAAUCAACAAAGAUGAGAAUCAAACGAUCGCUAGCAAAAUAUACACUACAAAGAAAUAUGAUAGAACAAUGCUGAAAUAAAAAUCAGAAACAUGGAAGAAAGGUUUCGAGUUCGAGUUUAUACCAAAAUUCCGAACAUUCAACGUCGAAUCGAGCAACGAGACAAUGCCAAGUGGUUGUUGUCUGACCCUGAGGCGCAUGUUUUUUUUUGACAGACGCUAAACUAAUAAAUUCCGACGUCUUGCCAAAAGGAAACAAGUGCCUUUGGGUUGAAAAAAACUAAGACGGAGUUUGGACUUGAAACUAACACAAAGAGAUAGAACCAAGCAAGACAUACAUGUAUAUGCAAGUUUUAUGUGAAAAGGGGGGUAUGUAACCUCAUCAAUUUAGGGACAAAAGAGGCUAGGAUUUUUCGAAUUUGGGUAGAUUUGUGGAUUUUGGGAGGGAUUUUUAGGAUUUGGAGGUUGGAAUCAAAAAGAGGAGGUUGAGAUUGAGGGGUUGGGGGGGGGGGGUGAAAGUUUGGGGUGAUUGGACGUGCACCGCCGUCGUGGGGGUGGCAGAGGAGUCUGAUGAGGGACGUGAGAGAGGGAAGGGGGAAGGAGGGUAGAAGAAUUAUGGGGGAAAUGGGAUAAAAUUUCAGCCUUUCUAAGUCUUAAAUACCUAGUUGGGAGAUUGAUUUUGGACCAUUGGAUCAAGAGAGAUCAAACGGCUGAGACUUAAUCUCUGGACUACUAGACCAGGUCCAGGUGCUUUUGGGCUCCGAUUUUGGGGCUAAUUUC
rnacentral:lncRNA from 1 species